UUUGUCUAUUGGCAAAUGUGAGAUGCAGUGUAUGGAAUGUCAAAUUUCUAAUAUGAGAAAUUAACGAUUUAAGUCCUUCUUAAAUGAGGCCAUUUACCCAUAGAGGGUGCCAGGCCCGUAUAACGUUAAUGAUUAUUAGAUGGCAUUUCCAAAGAGUCGUGUUGCUUGAUAGUGCAGCACUAAGUGGGUGGUAAACUCCAUCUAAAACUAAAUAUAACCAUGAGACCGAUAGUAAACAAGUACCGUGAGGGAAAGUUGAAAAGAACUCUGAAUAGAGAGUUAAAUAGUACGUGAAACUGCUUAGAGGUUAAGCCCGAUGAACCUGAAUAUCCGAUAUGGAAAACUCAUCGUUAUGAUUUUAAUAUAUUAAAAUAAUGGUGUGCAUUUUUUCCAUAAAGGACAUUGUAAUCUAUUAACAUAAAAAAUUUAUCAUAAGAUCGCGCUAGUUUAUUCAAAUUAUUUUGCUUGCAAUUUAACAUAGAAUAAAUGCAUUUGAUUUGAUAAAGUGUUGAUAGAUUUUAUAUAUAGUGCUGAAAUAAUAUUUUAUAAUAGCAUAUUUAUCAUUGAUUUAUAUGUUUAUUAUAUGCGCUUAUAUGAUUAACAAUGCGAAAGAUUCAGGAUACCUUCGGGACCCGUCUUGAAACACGGACCAAGGAGUCUAACAUAUUUGCAAGUUAUUGGGAAAAAACCUAAUAGCGAAAUUAACAUAACAUAAUGGGAUUAGUUUUUAAUAUUAUUAAUUCAAUCCCGGGGCGUUCUAUAAAGUUAUGUAUAAUAAUAUUUAUAUUAUUUAUACCUCUAACUAGAGCGUACCUUGAGCAUAUAUGCUGUGACCCGAAAGAUGGUGAACUAUACUUGAUCAGGUUGAAGUCAGGGGAAACCCUGAUGGAAGACCGAAACAGUUCUGACGUGCAAAUCGAUUGUCAGAAUUGAGUAUAGGGGCGAAAGACCAAUCGAACCAUCUAGUAGCUGGUUCCCUCCGAAGUUUCCCUCAGGAUAGCUGGUGCAUUUAAAAAUUAUGUAAAAUAAUCUUAUCUGGUAAAGCGAAUGAUUAGAGGCCUUAGGGUCGAAACGAUCUUAACCUAUUCUCAAACUUUAAAUGGGUAAGAACCUCACCUUUCUUGGUAUGAAGGUAGUGGUUGUGAUAUAAUGUGCCCAGUGGGCCACUUUUGGUAAGCAGAACUGGCGCUGUGGGAUGAACCAAACGUAAUGUUGCGGUGCCUAAAUUAACAACUCAUGCAGAUACCAUGAAAGGCGU
rnacentral:rRNA from 1 species